rnacentral:rRNA from 1 species
UACGUAGGGGGCAAGCGUUGUCCGGAUUUAUUGGGCGUAAAGAGCGUGUAGGCGGCCAGGUAGGUCCGCUGUGAAGACUCGAGGCUUAACCUCGAGAUGUCGGUGGAAACCAUCUGGCUAGAGUUCGGUAGGGGAGACUGGAAUUCCUGGUGUAGCGGUGAAAUGCGCAGAUAUCGGGAGGAACACCAAUGGCGAAGGCAGCUCGCUGGGACGGUACUGACGCUGAGACGCGAAAGCGUGGGGAGCAAACAGG